AACGAACGCUGGCGGCAUGCCUAACACAUGCAAGUCGAACGAGAUCUUCGGGUCUAGUGGCGCACGGGUGCGUAACGCGUGGGGAUCUGCCCUUUGGUUCGGAAUAACAGUUGGAAACGACUGCUAAUACCGGAUGAUGACGAAAGUCCAAAGAUUUAUCGCCAGAGGAUGAGCCCGCGUAGGAUUAGCUAGUUGGUGUGGUAAAGGCGCACCAAGGCGACGAUCCUUAGCUGGUCUGAGAGGAUGAUCAGCCACACUGGGACUGAGACACGGCCCAGACUCCUACGGGAGGCAGCAGUGGGGAAUAUUGGACAAUGGGCGAAAGCCUGAUCCAGCAAUGCCGCGUGAGUGAUGAAGGCCUUAGGGUUGUAAAGCUCUUUUACCCGGGAUAAUAAUGACAGUACCGGGAGAAUAAGCUCCGGCUAACUCCGUGCCAGCAGCCGCUGUAA
rnacentral:rRNA from 1 species